rnacentral:rRNA from 1 species
ACAUGCAAGUCGAGCGGCAGCGGGAAAGUAGCUUGCUACUUUUGCCGGCGAGCGGCGGACGGGUGAGUAAUGCCUGGGAAAUUGCCCAGUCGAGGGGGAUAACAGUUGGAAACGACUGCUAAUACCGCAUACGCCCUACGGGGGAAAGCAGGGGACCUUCGGGCCUUGCGCGAUUGGAUAUGCCCAGGUGGGAUUAGCUAGUUGGUGAGGUAAUGGCUCACCAAGGCGACGAUCCCUAGCUGGUCUGAGAGGAUGAUCAGCCACACUGGAACUGAGACACGGUCCAGACUCCUACGGGAGGCAGCAGUGGGGAAUAUUGCACAAUGGGGGAAACCCUGAUGCAGCCAUGCCGCGUGUGUGAAGAAGGCCUUCGGGUUGUAAAGCACUUUCAGCGAGGAGGAAAGGUCAGUAGCUAAUAUCUGCUGACUGUGACGUUACUCGCAGAAGAAGCACCGGCUAACUCCGUGCCAGCAGCCGCGGUAAUACGGAGGGUGCAAGCGUUAAUCGGAAUUACUGGGCGUAAAGCGCACGCAGGCGGUUGGAUAAGUUAGAUGUGAAAGCCCCGGGCUCAACCUGGGAAUUGCAUUUAAAACUGUCCAGCUAGAGUCUUGUAGAGGGGGGUAAGAAAUUCCAGGGGAACCGGUGAAAUUGCGUAAAAAAUUCUGGAAGGAAUACCCGGUGGGCGAAAGGCGGCCCCUUGGAACAAAACUGGACCCUCAGGUGGCAAAACCUGGGGGAGCAAAAGGGAAUUAAUUCCCCGGGUGGUCCCCCCCCUAAACAAUCCAAUUUGAAGGUUGUUCCUUUAAACUGGGUUUCCGAAUUAACCCUUAAAUCCCCCCCGGGGGAAACCGGCCCCAGGUUAAACCAAUAAUUUUGGGGCCCCCAAAAGGGGGAAUUGGGUUUUUUUGGACCCGAAACCUUCCGGCUUAAAUUUUGAACUCCAAAAUGGAGGCUUUGAAAAAAAAAAGGUGCUGGUUUUCCCUGCCGGAAUUGGUAAACCCAAAAGAACCCUCUUUUUUCCCAUGGGGAUCAGGGAGCGGUUAACCCGGGGGGGGACUUUUGGCUUCCGGCCCCUUAUGGGAGGGUGGUUUUUUUAACAAACCACGGGGGGCCCCCCCCCGAACAAAAUGAACCCCUCCCCCCCCCGGCCAAAAAUCAAUUCGCCNUUUUUUUGAUAAAAAANNNNAUUUUUUUCUCUAUUCCUCUAAGGCUUUUCAUGCCCCUUAAAUUCUAUUUUCC